AAAACCAUAGCUCAGUUGGCAGAGCAUGCAACUCUCAAUCUCAAGGUCUUGAGUUCAAGCCCCACAUGGUCCCUUCC